GAUAAACGCUGGCGGCGCACAUAAGACAUGCAAGUCGAACGGACUUAACUCAUUCUUUUAGAUUGAGAGCGGUUAGUGGCGGACUGGUGAGUAACACGUAAGCAACCUGCCUAUCAGAGGGGAAUAACAGUGAGAAAUCAUUGCUAAUACCGCAUAAGCUAGUAGCAUCGCAUGAUGUAGCUAGAAAAGGAGUAAUCCGCUGAUAGAUGGGCUUGCGUCUGAUUAGCUAGUUGGUGGGGCAACGGCCUACCAAGGCGACGAUCAGUAGCCGGACUGAGGGGUUGAACGGCCACCUUGGGACUGGGAUACGGACCAGACUCCUACGGGAGGCAGCAGUCGGGAAUAUUGCGCAAUGGAGGAAACUCUGACGCAGUGACGCCGCGUAUAGGAAGAAGGUUUUCGGAUUGUAAACUAUUGUCGUGAGGGAAGAAAUUGACAGUACCUCAGGAGGAAGCUCCGGCUAACUAUGUGCCAGCAGCCGCGGUAA
rnacentral:rRNA from 1 species